GGGGCGGAGUUCCGGUUUGCCGCAAUUUGGAUGCUAACGGCAGCGCCUCGGUCGUCAUUGUUGACUUCUGUUUUAAUAUCCUUCAGGCACCCAAAUGAUGGGAUGACCUUUCCACCUCGGCCGGGGCUGGGAUGUCACGCGCAGCAUGAAAUGAAAACUCAUCACCUUGCUAAACUCUUCACAUCACUCUUUGCUCUUCCUCCCCUCUUGCUCCUGCAUCUGAUUUGUAUUCUGCUGCUCAUGAAAGGGACGCCCCAAGGUGAUUUCUCUCAUCCAGGCCAUGAAGCUGAGAAGCUGUCAAAACCACAGUUUGAGUCUACAGAAGAGUCUCUGUGGCUCGGUUUUGCUCUCAGCAUGUGAUGACCGGUAAAAUUGAAAAGAAAAAAUAUAAAUAAAGAGUAUUCAGUAUGAACAAAGGUAGAUCACGCAUGUAGUUACCUUAGAUAACUUCCCUAAGGUGUGACGACAGAGUUGACAAAACAAUUCCUCCCGUUGCAACAAUCAGACACUUUAAUCGACUUAAACGUCCGUAACUCGCCCAGACUUACUGGUUAUCAGAAUCAAAUGCUGACGUGAAUGAAGCAAUGAACUUCAUCUCAUCUGAAUUAUGAAUUGGACAUUUUCACUCAGCUUUAAUAACUGCACUCUUAAAGAAAGAGGAUGAUUAUUGUUUUAAUUUGUAAGAGUGUUAUGUGAAAAAGAACAAUAUGAAAAAUGUAACAAAAUACUUAACACUACAGAGAAAGAAUAGUUUAACUGUUACUAAUGAACAAACGAGAUUAUACACAACCCUUUUCACAAAUAAAGAGAGAUAAGAGAUUCACAGAAAAUACACAAAACGGACACAAAUACAAAGCAUCACCUAAAAAGGAACUAACAGAAAAUAACAUCAUGCACCAGUGGUUUUGGUUUUGGUUUUGAUCAGAAACUCUUUGUUCUGUUAGUGUCUUUAUGGUGGAAGUAUGCUGAUUUAGUAAUAAACUUUAUUUGGUUGUUAAAAUUCAGUUUUGCGUCCAAAAUGGCGUGCAAAGAUUUUUAUUUUUAUUUUAUUGUUUUUCUUGCUUUGUGGGUCUUGCUAAAUGUUGAUUUCUAACUUCACAUUUUCAGAAUAGACACACUGAAGAACAUGAAGUUUGGAAAGAAAUAUUUUCCAGUCUUCUCACUGCAUAAACAUUUUUGUCGACAAAUAAAAAAGCUCUAGAUAUGAAGUAAAAUCACAAUAAUUGCAGGAGAAGAGACAAUUUCAGAAGAGACAAUAAUGAUGAAUUUCAUCAAUAUCUCCAUCCGUACAGCAUUCCAUAUGACUCCACAAACUUCAUUUGAUGAAGAUGGUGUUCUGCUUUUUUUAUGCACCAACAUUUAAUUUGUUAGUUGAGAACAGACUUGUAGGCACCUGUCAAAGUCUUGACCUUUUAUCAAUACUCUUAACCAGAUUUAGGUUUGCAAUUGUGACACACCAGAAUGAAACGAGCAGCUAUUUGACACCAAAAAAUAAAGAAUCUAACCUGAAAUUAUUCUAUUAAAUUACAGAUUCUGCUUUGCAUUGCAGGGACUAGGUUUGCACUGUUUAUACAUGUUGAUUUUUUAUUGAUUUGUGUCGUAUUUAAACUCCUUGAUAGCCCAGAAGACCAACAUUUCAGACAACAAAUUGGAUAAACAGAAAUAUUACAUUUCAAAGAUUUGACAUUUCUCAAAAUAUAGCUAGACUCUAAAUUACCAGCUGUGUUUGUUUUGUUAAAUUACAUGUUUUCUGCUUCAUGGCUUCGUUUCAUUGUCUUAGUUUUAAUUAAAUUUUUGCAUCCUCACAACGCUACUGUUCUGGAAUGACUAAAACUUCAUUUUUCUACACUAUGCAAAAAAUGAUGAAUGAAUUGCCUUGUUGAG